rnacentral:rRNA from 1 species
ACGCUGGCGGCGCGCCUAACACAUGCAAGUCGCACGAGNAACGUUUCAGCUUGCUGGAACUAGUAAAGUGGCGCACGGGUGAGUAACGCGUGGGUAAUCUACCUCCGAAUUGGGGAUAACAUUGCGAAAGCGAUGCUAAUACCGAAUGAUAUCUCAGCAACUUCAGUUUUUGAGAUCAAAGGUGGCCUCUCCUUGGAAGCUUCUGUUUGGAGAUGAGCCCGCGUACCAUUAGCUUGUUGGUAGGGUAAUGGCCUACCAAGGCAACGAUGGUUAGCUGGUCUGAGAGGAUGAUCAGCCACACUGGAACUGACACACGGUCCAGACUCCUACGGGAGGCAGCAGUGAGGAAUUUUGCGCAAUGGGGGAAACCCUGACGCAGCAACGCCGCGUGAGUGAUGAAGGCUUUCGGGUCGUAAAGCUCUGUCAAGUGGGAAGAACCUGCCUUUUGCUAAUAUCAAUCGGCACUGACGGUACCACUGAAGGAAGCACCGGCUAACUCCGUGCCAGCAGCCGCGGUAAUACGGGGGGUGCAAGCGUUAUUCGGAAUUACUGGGCGUAAAGAGCGCGUAGGCGGUUUCUUAAGUCAGAUGUGAAAGCCCGGGGCUUAACCCCGGAAGUGCAUUUGAAACUAAGGGACUUGAGUAUGGGAGAGGGAAGUGGAAUUCCUGGUGUAGCGGUGAA